rnacentral:misc_RNA from 1 species
UGGUUCUGGCAUCGAUGAAGAACGCAGCGAAAUGCGAUAAGUAAUGUGAAUUGCAGAAUUCAGUGAAUCAUCGAGUUUUUGAACGCACAUUGCGCCCUUUGGUAUUCCGAAGGGCACGCCCGUUCGAGCGUCAUUACACCACUCAAGCCUGGCUUGGUAUUGGGUCCACGGGGGCGACCCGGACCUCAAAAACGUCGGCGGGAAAGUCUGGAUCUCAGCGUUGUGGCAAUCAAUCCGCUGGCGAGAGAGACGUCCCGUGCCGGAAAACAUUCAUUAAAGGUUGACCUCGGAUCGGGUGGGGAUACCCGCUGA